rnacentral:lncRNA from 1 species
UGGGGACUUAGGAGGAGCCAGGAUGAAAAGCUUGCCUGUUCCCUAAACUUGGCAGGGCUAUUCUGGAAGCCUGGCUCUCCCCCUGUCUGGCUGAGAAGACAUUCCUCUCACUAGAUCAUAAAGUCCUGUCCCGUUGUGGCCGUGGUCCGUCUACCCCUCAGCACCUGCCCUGUGUCUACACGAAUUUGUCAGACUGGACAGAAGAAGCCCACAGCCAGGCCCCUCGACUUGCAGGUCCAAGCGAAGCUACCAGACCAGCUCUUCCAAACCGUACGCCAGAUGGGACCUGCACUCCAGCCACUGCAAGCAGCUUUGUUUUCAGCACAAAUGCCAGGACUUGAGAAAAGUGUUCACAACGUCAUGGCUAGGAAAGAAAGAUAAUCCUCCAGCUUUUUCAAGUCCCUCAAGAUUUCUCCCCUCAGCAGCAUUAAGCUACGUGACAGAACAAGCUGCUGCUUCAGUAGCUGCUGCCCAGCCUCCUCCCUCACCCGCAGGACGGCCUGGGUCAGUCAGUGGAUGGGGGCGAGUCAUCUCCCCUGGAGGCACUCUGAUCCUGGAGCCACUAACGCUCAAGGAGAUGGCCUCAAAUUCUAGAGCAAAGUCAAGGGGUCUAUCACGG